UACGUAGGGUGCGAGCGUUAAUCGGAAUUACUGGGCGUAAAGUGUGCGCAGGCGGCCGCGCAAGUCGAGUGUGAAAGCCCCGAGCUUAACUUGGGAAUUGCGCUCGAAACUACGUGGCUGGAGUGUGGCAGAGGAAGGUGGAAUUCCAGGUGUAGCGGUGAAAUGCGCAGAUAUCAGGAGGAACACCGAUGGCGAAGGCAGGUCUCUGGGCCACUACUGACGCUGAGAAGCGAAAGCAUGGGGAGCGAACAGG
rnacentral:rRNA from 1 species